rnacentral:rRNA from 1 species
GACGAACCGAGCGAACGUUGUUCGGAAUAACUGGGCUUAAAGGGCGCGUAGGCGGGCCGCCAAGUUCGAGGUGAAAUCCUCCGGCUCAACCGGAGAACUGCCUCGAAUACUGGAGGUCUCGAGGGUGGUAGGGGCACGCGGAACUGUGGGUGGAGCGGUGAAAUGCGUUGAUAUCCACAGGAACUCCGGUGGCGAAGGCGGCGUGCUGGACCACAUCUGACGCUGAGGCGCGAAAGCGUGGGGAGCAAACAGG